AGUCUUAAUUUAUUUCAGGUACUGUCUUGCGUUUUCAAAUAUAUUCACGCAUAUAGUAGCAAUACCAGAUUUUUAUAGACAUUUCUGAUUAAUUAAUAAUUUGUUUUAUAUUAUCAAUGUCAUUUUUAUUGAGAAUGCUUUUAUAUUUUAGAUUUUUCAAAUAAUAUCGUUCAAAUGUGAUAUUAUGAAACUGAUGUUGCACGUUGUAUUUUUUCUCAUCGAACUUAUAUAUCUGAUAAUAGGCAGUAAUUUUGCGCAAGAAAUUAUAGAUUAUAAUGAUGAUGUAUACGUUGCCGUAUACGAAAAAUAUUCAUACGAUAAUAUCGUGCAUAUUCGUUCUACAGAAUAUUACAAUAAUAAACAUUGUUAUUUAAUUGAAAUAUAAAUGCGGUAAAAAUUAUUCUCAAUUUUUCGUUUACGUUUAAUUAUUAAUUUGCAUUAUGACGCAGGUACGGCGUUCCCUGGUACGUGGCUCCGAUAAAAAUACAGAAAAUGAUAAUAUUUCUAUUGCAAAGACGUACUAAAGCGUUCCAUAUACAAAUUGGUGGAAUAUUUGUAGCGUCGUUAGAAGGUGCAACUACGUUGUUGAGUGCCACAAUAUCAUAUUUCACUGUACUUUACUCUACGAGGCAGUAAUGCAAAAUACAUUAAUUAAAAAUAGAGCAAAAUAAUAUAUAAGGAUAUUAAUAAUUAAGACAGUUUUGUCUGUUAUCUUGAAAGAAGCAGAACUCAAUAGAUUAGAUAAGAUUGUAAAGAUUGUAAAAGUUGAAAAAAUACGACAUGUAAAACUAUAGUUUGUAAUAAUAAAUGGAAAAAUACAUUUUACCAGUAAUAA